rnacentral:rRNA from 1 species
AUUGAACGCUAGCGGGAUGCCUUACACAUGCAAGUCGAACGGAGCGGCGAACGGGUGAGGAAUGCCUAGGAAUCUGCCCAGUAGUGGGGGAUAACUACGGGAAACCGUCGCUAAUACCGCAUACUAUUGGAGCGGCCGAUUUCGGAUUAGCUAGUUGGUUGGGUAACGGCCUACCAAGGCGACGAUCCGUAACUGGUCUGCGCGGACGACCAGCCACACUGGGACUGAGAUACUGCCCAGACUCCUACGGGAGGCAGCAGUGGGGAAUUUUGGACAAUGGGUGAAACCCUGAUCCAGCCAUGCCGCGUGUGCGAUGAAGGCCUUCGGGUUGUAAAGCACUUUUGGCAGGAAAGCGGUACCUGCAGAAUAAGCACCGGCUAACUACGUGCCAGCCGCCGCGGUAAUUC